AACGCACAUUGCGCCCCUUGGUAUUCCAUGGGGCAUGCCUGUUCGAGCGUCAUUUGUACCUUCAAGCUUUGCUUGGUGUUGGGCGUCUUUGUCUCUCACGAGACUCGCCUUAAAAUGAUUGGCAGCCGACCUACUGGUUUCGGAGCGCAGCACAAUUCUUGCACUUUGAAUCAGCCUUGGUUGAGCAUCCAUCAAGACCACAUUUUUUUCAACUUUUGACCUCGGAUCAGGUAGGGAUACCCGCUGAACUUAA
rnacentral:misc_RNA from 1 species